rnacentral:misc_RNA from 1 species
GAUGAAGAACGUAGCGAAAUGCGAUAAGUAAUGUGAAUUGCAGAAUUCAGUGAAUCAUCGAAUCUUUGAACGCACAUUGCGCCCGCCAGUAUUCUGGCGGGCAUGCCUGUUCGAGCGUCAUUUCAACCAUCAAGCCCCCGGCUUGUGUUGGGGACCUGCGGCUGCCGCAGGCCCUGAAAAGCAGUGGCGGGCUCGCUGUCACACCGAGCGUAGUAGCAUACAUCUCGCUCAGGGCGUGCGGCGGGCUCCAGCCGUUAAAGCACCCACCUUUCGCAAGGUUGACCUCGGAUCAGGUAGGAAUACCCGCUGAACUUAAGCAUAUCAAUAAGCGGAGGA